UACGUAGGGGGCAAGCGUUGUCCGGAUUUAUUGGGCGUAAAGAGCGUGUAGGCGGCCAGGUAGGUCUGCUGUGAAAACUCGAGGCUUAACCUCGAGAUGUCGGCGGAAACCAUCUGGCUAGAGUCCGGAAGAGGAGAGCGGAAUUCCUGGUGUAGCGGUGAAAUGCGUAGAUAUCAGGAGGAACACCUGUGGUGUAGACGGCUUUCUGGACCAUAGCUGACGCUGAGACACGAAAGCGUGGGUAGCAAACAGG
rnacentral:rRNA from 1 species